ACCCGCUCCCCCCGCCGGCGGAGACGUCACCCACCAUUCGCGGCGCGGGUGGGACGGGACGUGGACGCCGCGGUUCUCCCGCCCACGGGACGGGCUCGUCCCGCGUGAGGAUCCUGCGUCCCGGGAGUUCUGCGCCACUUAGGGAACCACGGUCUCCGCCCCCGGCCCAGCACCGUCGCGCGGCCAACAACCUUAGCCUCGGUUCCCUUCCAGAGGCCCCCACGCGGGGCCUCAGCUCCGGGGGGCCGGGGCCUGGAAUAUCUGGGACCCCAGGAGGGGACAGAGGGCUCGUGAAAAGGGCUACCUCCCCCACUCUGCGUACCCUGGCGACUCUGGGGAUCAACCCCCCUCACUUCUCCGUAACCCCCAUUCCAGGAUCCCGGGGGAAAAGGCUGCAAAAGAUCUGCCGCUUUAGCCUUCUAGUCCUGAGAACACACCUAGGUCCCGAUGUGCCCGGGAUUCCCCUUACCACCCUGGGGACUCCCUCCACCCUCUGCUUUGGCUCUCCCUAGACCCUCCGACCCGCUCUCCCGCUCGAGGUUUGGGGGCGGCGGCUCGGGACGUCCAGACUCAACUCUCGGCCGGAGCCAUAGACUCGAGAAUUGCGUUUGGACAAUCAGGAGCCGCGGCCCGGGGCGGGGAAGGGAGGGAGGCGCACGGGAGGAAAGGGGGAAUGGAGACACCACGCGGAAACAGGGACAUACACAAGAUGGAGCUCCCAUUGGGAAGGGGGGGUGCGCGUGUGGGUGGGGUACACAGGGGCAGAAUGUCUGGAGUGGGAAGUGGGCAGAAGCCUCUUCGAGGACUCUAGAGUAAACGAAGGGGAUGGGGAGGAAAGAGAAGAGGAAGGGGCAGAGCGAUCCCCAUUGAGUGUAGGGAAUGAGAGGGAUACAGGGCGAGGGGGUGGGGGGCAGUUAGAGACCCUGAUGGGCAUCUUGUCCCCGCCCGAGCUGAGGCUCCCGGACUUGGGCUGCGGCUGCCAGGGGGUGGCCUGUCCCUGGGACAAGGCAGCAGUGGGUGCCCUCGCCCCCCACCCCAGUUCCCCCCUACUUCCCUGUCCUCUCCUUCAGUCCGUGGCCAGUCCUUAUGUGGGCGCCAGAGUCGAUUAGCGCAGACCCCCCUCCCCUUCCUCCUCCUCUUCCCAGCCCCCUCCCUCCUGCUCUCUCCAGCCCCUUUCAUCGGCUGGUUCAUUCCCCUAAUCCUGGCCCCCUCCCCUAAUCCCCCCCAUCCGACCCCAGGCCGGCUGCAGCUAUUGUAAGGUGGAGAGAAAGGGGAGGGGGGGACUCAGAGAAAGGAGAGGGGUGGGGGAGGGCCACCUGUUCCAAGACCCCCUUUCAAGGCCAGACUGGACACCAAGAUGGGGCCAUGAACAAAUCACCCUUGGGGACCAUAA
rnacentral:lncRNA from 1 species